AGAGUUUGAUCAUGGCUCAGAACGAACGCUGGCGGCAGGCCUAACACAUGCAAGUCGAAGGAGAAGUUUCUCUUCGGAGAGAUGGACACUGGCGCACGGGUGAGUAACGCGUGGGAAUCUACCCCGGGGUGGGGGACAACCGCUGGAAACGGCGGCUAAUACCGCAUACGCCUUGAGAGGGAAAGCUUUAGCGCCCUGGGAUGAGCCCGCGUUAGAUUAGGUAGUUGGUGGGGUAAUGGCCUACCAAGCCUUCGAUCUAUAGCUGGUCUGAGAGGAUGAUCAGCCACACUGGGACUGAGACACGGCCCAGACUCCUACGGGAGGCAGCAGUGGGGAAUAUUGGACAAUGGGGGCAACCCUGAUCCAGCCAUGCCGCGUGCGUGAAGAAGGCCUUAGGGUUGUAAAGCGCUUUCACUGGUGAAGAUGAUGACGGUAGCCAGAGAAGAAGCCCCGGCUAACUCCGUGCCGGCAGCCGCGGUAAUACGGAGGGGGCAAGCGUUGUUCGGAAUUACUGGGCGUAAAGGGCGCGUAGGCGGAAUAUCAAGUUAGGGGUGAAAGGCCUGGGCUCAACC
rnacentral:rRNA from 1 species